AUAAAUGUCAGGAUAAGGACGCUGUGGGGAAUGCUUUAACAGAGAGAUAAUCACUUCGGUGAAAGAUUGUCGAAAGAUACCUCAGAGAGAUCACCUUUGAACAGGAUUUCUGAAGACUUAAGUUGGCCAUUGGUUAAUUAAGCUUAGGAAAUCCCGGGGAAUCGUUAACUUCAUGGAGUGGGCAGUUUGCUGCCAACUUGGGUGGUACCGCGAUUUUUCGUCCCUUGG
rnacentral:ncRNA from 1 species